UGAGCACUCAGCACAGUGGCUGCUUGCUAAUGCUCAGAACUGCUAGAAAGUUUCUAUCUGGCUGAUUCUGGUAUCAGGCUGAGGUCAUCCUGCAGCAUUUACUGGGGAAGGUUUGCCCAAAUGACACCUCAGUGGCAGCAUCUCAUGCUGAAACCUCGGUGGAACAGUGCAGAGGCCUGAAUUUUUGGCAAGCUAAGCUAAACUCUGCCGCGUGGUGAAACCAUGUGAAAGCUGCCACUAAGGAAAUUAACUUCUGGAAACAUUCCCAGUGGCCAGCCUAUUCAUCAGGGCUGUUACAUUUGUGCUGCUGCAGAGAGGGAAGUACCUUUUUCUCUUGCUCUUUAUUAGCAUGUGCCAUGGUGUGAGGCACUGCGCCGGGGAGGGAACCCCGCCGUGAGCGGCACUGGGUAAACACAGCCGAGGUGACAGUGACAGUCCUCAUCACAGAGUGUUAGCAAUUCAAACAGCCACGUCAGUCAAGGAAUUUGAGGGAAGGGGAAGCAAAAGGGAGAAUGUGACAGUUUGCAAACACUCCGCUGCAUGAUUUUGUCGUAGGUGUGUUCAUCCUGGAAGUGUCUUGGAGGAAAUGCAAAUGGAUUUUGUGCUGGGCAAGUCUGUGUGCAAGUGAGGACUGCUGGAGCUUUGUUGGUGCUGUGCCAGGCUUCAGACCGUUCCUCUUCCAGCCUUCUCCGUGUUCAUUUCCAUGGCGGGCUCCUUCCUCCCCACACGGCUUUGGAAAGGUAUCCAAUGUCUGGCUAAAUCUGCUGGAAAACAACAGACAGCCAAUUCCAGUGCCUGGAUGAGGACAAAAGCACCCAUCAAGGAAGGACAAAUGCACCAAGUUCUGCUGAUUCCGAGAUCACCUGAAGGCAAGUU